AGAGCGGUAGCCCGGAGAUGGGCACUGAGACAAGGGCCCAGGCCCUACGGGGCGCAGCAGGCGCGAAACCUCCACAAUUCACGAAAGUGAGAUGGGGCUACCUCGAGUGCUGCCUGAAGAAGGUGGCUUUUCCAUGGUGUAAUGAGCCUUGGGAAUAAGGGGGGGGCA
rnacentral:rRNA from 1 species